AGUUUAUUGUUCUGUAUCAUAACGUGAGGACAGCUUGCGUCAAGAUAUCAUAAUGUUCAAGGAUCUUCUUCUGAUUUUUUGUUUAGCCACCAUCGCCUUAGCGGGCGAUUACGAGGAUUAUGAAUCAAUGGAACACACCGAUCAUUCAAAAUACGAGUACGAAUAUGGCACCAAAGAUUUCCCCACCAGUGGCCACAAGAUUCACUGGGAAGAGCUUGAGGACAAUAGUGUCAAACAACCCAACACUCUCAACGAAACAAAUAUCACUGCAGGUGUUGUUGAAUUUGUGAAAGAAGUUCCUUCUAUUAACACCACAACUAUUCUUCCGGACGUCACAACAAAAACAAUGGAAAAUAAGCAAAUCAUAUCAAUGUUAGCAAAUGUCACUGUUAUAACUCCUGUGGCAAAUCAAACACUAAAAGCAGAGUCUAAGCAACCGCUACCCAAAAAAAUAAGCUGCUGUUAAUUAAAAAUCUUCUCUGUUAUGCUAAACAGGCAACUUGGUACGUCUUUUGGAACAUAGAUUACAAAUUUCUGUUUUAUUUCGUUGAUUUGUUUUAAAAUAUUUGAUGUUUACUUGCAACUAAAAGAGUUCAAUUUAAAAUAAAUACUUUUUCAGUUUGAAA